rnacentral:rRNA from 1 species
UAACUGGAGAGUUUGAUCCUGGCUCAGAACGAACGCUGGCGGCGUGCCUAACACAUGCAAGUCGAACGAGAAAGUUUCCUUCGGGAAACCGGUAAAGUGGCGCAAGGGUGAGUAACACGUGAAUAAUCUGCCUACGAAUUCGGGAUAACUUGACGAAAGUUGUGCUAAUACCGAAUAAGACCACGUCUCUUAUGUGAUGUGGCCAAAGGAGUCUCAAACUCCGUUUGUAGAUGAGUUCGCGGACCAUUAGCUUGUUGGAGGGAUAACAGCCCCCCAAGGC